rnacentral:rRNA from 1 species
UACGGGGGGAGCAAGCGUUGUUCGGAUUUACUGGGCGUAAAGGGCGCGUAGGCGGCGCAACAAGUCAGUUGUGAAAUCUCCGAGCUUAACUCGGAAAGGUCAACUGAUACUGUGCGGCUAGAGUGCGGAAGGGGCAACUGGAAUUCUUGGUGUAGCGGUGAAAUGCGUAGAUAUCGAAGAGGAACACCUGCGGCGAAGGCGGGUUGCUGGGCCGACACUGACGCUGAGGCGCGAAAGCCAGGGGAGCGAACGGG